rnacentral:rRNA from 1 species
AGCGUACACGGUGGAUGCCCUGGCAGUCAGAGGCGAUGAAGGACGUGCUAAUCUGCGAUAAGCGUCGGUAAGGUGAUAUGAACCGUUAUAACCGGCGAUUUCCGAAUGGGGAAACCCAGUGUGUUUCGACACACUAUCAUUAACUGAAUCCAUAGGUUAAUGAGGCGAACCGGGGGAACUGAAACAUCUAAGUACCCCGAGGAAAAGAAAUCAACCGAGAUUCCCCCAGUAGCGGCGAGCGAACGGGGAGCAGCCCAGAGCCUGAAUCAGUGUGUGUGUUAGUGGAAGCGUCUGGAAAGGCGCGCGAUACAGGGUGACAGCCCCGUACACAAAAAUGCACAUGCUGUGAGCUCGAUGAGUAGGGCGGGACACGUGGUAUCCUGUCUGAAUAUGGGGGGACCAUCCUCCAAGGCUAAAUACUCCUGACUGACCGAUAGUGAACCAGUACCGUGAGGGAAAGGCGAAAAGAACCCCGGCGAGGGGAGUGAAAAAGAACCUGAAACCGUGUACGUACAAGCAGUGGGAGCACGCUUAGGCGUGUGACUGCGUACCUUUUGUAUAAUGGGUCAGCGACUUAUAUUCUGUAGCAAGGUUAACCGAAUAGGGGAGCCGAAGGGAAACCGAGUCUUAACUGGGCGUUAAGUUGCAGGGUAUAGACCCGAAACCCGGUGAUCUAGCCAUGGGCAGGUUGAAGGUUGGGUAACACUAACUGGAGGACCGAACCGACUAAUGUUGAAAAAUUAGCGGAUGACUUGUGGCUGGGGGUGAAAGGCCAAUCAAACCGGGAGAUAGCUGGUUCUCCCCGAAAGCUAUUUAGGUAGCGCCUCGUGAAUUCAUCUCCGGGGGUAGAGCACUGUUUCGGCAAGGGGGUCAUCCCGACUUACCAACCCGAUGCAAACUGCGAAUACCGGAGAAUGUUAUCACGGGAGACACACGGCGGGUGCUAACGUCCGUCGUGAAGAGGGAAACAACCCAGACCGCCAGCUAAGGUCCCAAAGUCAUGGUUAAGUGGGAAACGAUGUGGGAAGGCCCAGACAGCCAGGAUGUUGGCUUAGAAGCAGCCAUCAUUUAAAGAAAGCGUAAUAGCUCACUGGUCGAGUCGGCCUGCGCGGAAGAUGUAACGGGGCUAAACCAUGCACCGAAGCUGCGGCAGCGACGCUGAUGCGUUGUUGGGUAGGGGAGCGUUCUGUAAGCCUGCGAAGGUGUGCUGUGAGGCAUGCUGGAGGUAUCAGAAGUGCGAAUGCUGACAUAAGUAACGAUAAAGCGGGUGAAAAGCCCGCUCGCCGGAAGACCAAGGGUUCCUGUCCAACGUUAAUCGGGGCAGGGUGAGUCGACCCCUAAGGCGAGGCCGAAAGGCGUAGUCGAUGGGAAACAGGUUAAUAUUCCUGUACUUGGUGUUACUGCGAAGGGGGGACGGAGAAGGCUAUGUUGGCCGGGCGACGGUUGUCCCGGUUUAAGCGUGUAGGCUGGUUUUCCAGGCAAAUCCGGAAAAUCAAGGCUGAGGCGUGAUGACGAGGCACUACGGUGCUGAAGCAACAAAUGCCCUGCUUCCAGGAAAAGCCUCUAAGCAUCAGGUAACAUCAAAUCGUACCCCAAACCGACACAGGUGGUCAGGUAGAGAAUACCAAGGCGCUUGAGAGAACUCGGGUGAAGGAACUAGGCAAAAUGGUGCCGUAACUUCGGGAGAAGGCACGCUGAUAUGUAGGUGAGGUCCCUCGCGGAUGGAGCUGAAAUCAGUCGAAGAUACCAGCUGGCUGCAACUGUUUAUUAAAAACACAGCACUGUGCAAACACGAAAGUGGACGUAUACGGUGUGACGCCUGCCCGGUGCCGGAAGGUUAAUUGAUGGGGUUAGCCGCAAGGCGAAGCUCUUGAUCGAAGCCCCGGUAAACGGCGGCCGUAACUAUAACGGUCCUAAGGUAGCGAAAUUCCUUGUCGGGUAAGUUCCGACCUGCACGAAUGGCGUAAUGAUGGCCAGGCUGUCUCCACCCGAGACUCAGUGAAAUUGAACUCGCUGUGAAGAUGCAGUGUACCCGCGGCAAGACGGAAAGACCCCGUGAACCUUUACUAUAGCUUGACACUGAACAUUGAGCCUUGAUGUGUAGGAUAGGUGGGAGGCUUAGAAGUGUGGACGCCAGUCUGCAUGGAGCCGACCUUGAAAUACCACCCUUUAAUGUUUGAUGUUCUAACGUUGACCCGUAAUCCGGGUUGCGGACAGUGUCUGGUGGGUAGUUUGACUGGGGCGGUCUCCUCCUAAAGAGUAACGGAGGAGCACGAAGGUUGGCUAAUCCUGGUCGGACAUCAGGAGGUUAGUGCAAUGGCAUAAGCCAGCUUGACUGCGAGCGUGACGGCGCGAGCAGGUGCGAAAGCAGGUCAUAGUGAUCCGGUGGUUCUGAAUGGAAGGGCCAUCGCUCAACGGAUAAAAGGUACUCCGGGGAUAACAGGCUGAUACCGCCCAAGAGUUCAUAUCGACGGCGGUGUUUGGCACCUCGAUGUCGGCUCAUCACAUCCUGGGGCUGAAGUAGGUCCCAAGGGUAUGGCUGUUCGCCAUUUAAAGUGGUACGCGAGCUGGGUUUAGAACGUCGUGAGACAGUUCGGUCCCUAUCUGCCGUGGGCGCUGGAGAACUGAGGGGGGCUGCUCCUAGUACGAGAGGACCGGAGUGGACGCAUCACUGGUGUUCGGGUUGUCAUGCCAAUGGCACUGCCCGGUAGCUAAAUGCGGAAGAGAUAAGUGCUGAAAGCAUCUAAGCACGAAACUUGCCCCGAGAUGAGUUCU